rnacentral:rRNA from 1 species
GAACGCGAAGAACCUUACCAGGUCUUGACAUCCCUCUGACCUCUCUAGAGAUAGAGAUUUCCUUCGGGACAGAGGUGACAGGUGGUGCAUGGUUGUCGUCAGCUCGUGUCGUGAGAUGUUGGGUUAAGUCCCGCAACGAGCGCAACCCCUAUUGUUAGUUGCCAUCAUUUAGUUGGGCACUCUAGCGAGACUGCCGGUAAUAAACCGGAGGAAGGUGGGGAUGACGUCAAAUCAUCAUGCCCCUUAUGACCUGGGCUACACACGUGCUACAAUGGCUGGUACAACGAGUCGCAAGCCGGUGACGGCAAGCUAAUCUCUUAAAGCCAGUCUCAGUUCGGAUUGUAGGCUGCAACUCGCCUACAUGAAGUCGGAAUCGCUAGUAAUCGCGGAUCAGCACGCCGCGGUGAAUACGUUCCCGGGUCUUGUACACACC